AUGGCCGGAAUUGUCAACAAGGAGUUUCCUGAGUUGGCCCAGACAGGGCUGAACUACCUAUCAUGGUCCUCGGACUGUGAGAUCUUUCUCCAGGGCAAAACCCUCCCGAAGGGCGAUCUGUAAGGGGGCCCAGCCACUGAUCCUAAGUUCGAAACUAAGAAUGUGCAGGCUCUGCACUUUCUCCGUCAUCACCUGUCACCUACACUGAAAGAUGAGUAUAUGGCUAAGCGCAAUGCUUCUGGCCUUUGGACCGCUCUUAAGCAGCGGUUUGAGCGGCUGAAGUACACUGUGAAGCCACGUGCAGAGGCAGAGUGGAUCUGUCUGAGGUUUGCGGACUUCAAGAUGAAGAUUGAGAAAACCCUAUCCACUUUUCACCCCGACACGGUCCAGUCCUCAUGGAACUACCGUCAGGGGAACUACACGAGGUAUUCAGAGUUGAUUGACGUCCUUCAGGUGGCGGAGGCGUAGGACGAGGUUCUCAAAAAGAUCUUUGUCGCGCAACCACUUGGGGGGGAGUCUCGCCAGGAGGUGAACGCUCUCAAAGUACGCAAGCCUCAACAGAAGAAGAGGGGCCGCAAGGGCAAGAAGAAGAACAAGCCGGGCAAGGGAGGGCAAAGGCCUUAGGACAGCUUCCGUUGUGGCUCGGUGGAGCAUUUCUCCCGCCAGUGCCGCACACCACCGGAGGUCAUUGAAGCAUACAAGGCUCGGAAGGCGCGUGAGAUGCACCUCGCCUUGGUUCAGGAGUUGACCACAUGGUCGCCUCGGUGGUGCCGCCACUAG
rnacentral:rRNA from 1 species